AUUGAACGCUGGCGGCAGGCCUAACACAUGCAAGUCGAGCGAGCGGCGGACGGGUGAGUAAUGUCUGGGAAACUGCCUGAUGGAGGGGGAUAACUACUGGAAACGGUAGCUAAUACCGCAUACCAUCAGAUGUGCCCAGAUGGGCUGAGCUGGUAGGUGGGGUAACGGCUCACCUAGGCGACGAUCCCUCGCUGGUCUGAGAGGAUGACCAGCCACAUGGGAACUGGGACACGGUCCAGACUCCUCCGGUAGGCAGCGUUGGGGAAUAUUGGACAAUGGGCGCAAGCCGGAUGCAGCCAUGCCGCGUGUGUGAAGAAGGCCUUCGGGUUGUAAAGCACUUUCAGCGGGGAGGCGUUACCCGCAGAAGAAGCACCGGCUAACUCCGUGCCAGCCGCCGCGGUAAUAC
rnacentral:rRNA from 1 species